GUCAGGAUGGCCGAGCGGUCCAAGGCGCUGCGUUCAGGUCGCAGUCCACUUCGGUGGGCGUGGGUUCGAAUCCCACUUCUGACA